rnacentral:rRNA from 1 species
GUGGGGAAUAUUGGACAAUGGGCGAAAGCCUGAUCCAGCCAUGCCGCGUGUGUGAAGAAGGUCUUCGGAUUGUAAAGCACUUUAAGUUGGGAGGAAGGGCAGUAAGUUAAUACCUUGCUGUUUUGACGUUACCAACAGAAUAAGCACCGGCUAACUUCGUGCCAGCAGCCGCGGUAAUACGAAGGGUGCAAGCGUUAAUCGGAAUUACUGGGCGUAAAGCGCGCGUAGGUGGUUCAGCAAGUUGGAGGUGAAAUCCCCGGGCUCAACCUGGGAACUGCCUCCAAAACUACUGAGCUAGAGUACGGUAGAGGGUAGUGGAAUUUCCUGUGUAGCGGUGAAAUGCGUAGAUAUAGGAAGGAACACCAGUGGCGAAGGCGACUACCUGGACUGAUACUGACACUGAGGUGCGAAAGCGUGGGGAGCAAACAGGAUUAGAUACCUAGUAGUCC